rnacentral:sRNA from 1 species
GGGGUGGGGUGGGAGGGUGUCAGUAAAAAGAUCGCGCAGCUCCUCCCAGCCCUGGCAUCGCUGUUUUCUGUUCUGGGCAGCGAGGGCUGCCAGACAGACCUCAGCCAAACUUGCACACCUCCUCCUCGCCCCACCCCUUACACCCUCAUCGGCCACACCCGCGCGGCCUGACUCGCUCCGGCGCACCCGUGUUUUGGGAAGCUUCUGAAGAGAGAGCUUGGUGGUCUAAGGAUGCUGUUCCCUUCCUUCCCCGAGACCUUUGGUGCCAUCUGGACGGAGGAGCCCAGACUUUUAUGAACAGAAUAAGGGGAAAUCCCCUAGAGAAGUCCGCACUGUUCCCCGAUCUCUUCGGCCCAUUUUGGGGGAAAGUGGAAACGCCCAAGGUUGUUGUACCCAGCGCGGGCUGAGGUUUUCCAGGAUCCCGCAAAGAGGCAAGGAGUUGGUCUCUCCGGUGGUUUAAAUGCGGCCGAAGGAGCUACUAUUCCUGCUGCCCGGUCCUACUCUCCAGGUCUUCCUUGAGCCUUGGAACCUCCCACCUGGGUCCUGCCCUGGAUCCUGGCAGGCAGAUACUCUCAUCCGUGAGUCAGGCCUCCUCAGACCCAGCUCCUCUCCUCCACCUGAGACCAAGAAUUCCUGACACCAGCAGUUGGAACAGCCUCAACUCCAGCGUCGUUUCUUCUUGUCAUCUCUGUUUCCGAGUCCUGGGCUCCAAGCCAGGGCGUGAUCCACCACUAGGGCCUCUCCCUCUACCAUAAACGACCAUGCUCCCUCGUGUCCCCUCCCUGGCCUGGGGUUGCCAAACAGAACGGGCAUGCUGACUCAAAGCUGGCCCAAGCAUCCAGGUUCUGCCAGAAAUGAGGAGCAACCUGGGAUAAACUGACGAUGUCGAGUGUGUGGCACUGAUAACUGCCUGCCGAGGGUUCUGAGCUAGAGUUUGCCCGCCCAUAGCCGUUUUCUCUACGUCUGACGUACCCUGGUGGCCACAGAGGCUCUUGGUCUAAGGGCACACUCCUGCUUUUGUGAAAUUCCGUCCGGAAGGUCCUGUCCCAGGUCCAGCUGCCUCAAUAGGAAACAGGAAGUUCAUCUGCCCAAAGAGAUGGGGAUGACAAGGAAAGCUCUCAGACCGUCCUUGAUGUCACUCACGGGCAAGGAUCAGAUCCCAGCAUGGGCUACAAGGUUGCAAGGAUCAGAUGCCAGCAUGGGCUACAAGGUUGCAAGGAUCAGAUGCCAGCAUGGGCUACAAGGUUGCAGCCCCCCUGAUAAUCUUAGGAUAGCACGGGGUCCUUGAGGGGGUUUUCUUUUCUUUUCUCUUUUGGUUUUACAAGACAGGGUUUCUCUGUGUAGCCCCAGCUGUCCUGUAACUCACUUUGUAGACCAGGCUGGCCCCAAACUCGUAGAGAUCUGAACCUAUCGAGAUCUGCAUGCCUCUGCUCCUGAAUGCCGGGAUCAGGCAUGUGCUCCCACACCCAGCAAUUGAGGAUAUCUUCCUGAGAUUAUGUUAAUCAGCAUUCAUAGUGAAUGGAACUGAGUCAGCUUUAAUGUGGGUGUUCAAUGUUCUCCUCCGCUUACCCCAGCCGCAGCAAGUGGAGUGCUUCAUGCUUCGUGAGUCCUGAGGAAAGUGUUCCAUAGCUAUGUCCUCUAAUCUGAAAAAUUCCCUCUUGGAGGGAGAAAGAGGGUUGGAAGACUCAGGAAGCUAAAGAAACUUGCAAGGCUCAGGAAGUCACAAAAUUUUACAAGGCCUCUCCCAGGUUUCUCUAUUCAGUGAACACAUCGGCAGAGGGAGAGGGGGCCCUGGUGGAGCUGCUGCAAGUUCUUCAGGGAGUCUUUAUGAACCCUUACCCAGGCUGGGGAGGUGACCCAGUGACCCAGUGGCCUCUGGCUCACCUGUGACUCUGGUAAGUUCACCAGUUCACCGAAUGAAAACUUCUAUUUUC